rnacentral:ncRNA from 2 species
GAAUAUAAGAGAUACUGUGAAGUAUAAUCUAUAUUUGGUCACCUGGAUUAUAUGGAGUUAGUGGUGAAACCUCCCUUUAAGGGG